UGUGAAAGUCAGCAGGGAAGAGCGAUGUAGAAGAAAUGACUGCCAGAAGCUUGCUAAGGAACCGCACAACCUGUGUGGGCAGCAGACAAAAUAUUCAUCAAACGAAGUUUUGCACCAAAGUUAUGAGAGCAGCACAGAUGUUGUUUUAGCGUAAUGGAGUGAUGGAAGUGCUGCGCCAAUCAUGGAGUGCUUAGCAGUCGCCUGCUCGACCAGCCACAGUGAGUCAUUGGAGGCAGUGCUGCAGCACCAACAAUCACUCGUUGGAAGAAAGGAAUGAGGUGGCCAUCAACACCCUGC